GUCCACGCCCUAAACGAUGUCUACUAGUUGUUGGUGGAGUAAAUCCAUGAGUAACGCAGCUAACGCGUGAAGUAGACCGCCUGGGGAGUACGGUCGCAAGAUUAAACUCAAAUGAAUUGACGGGGCCCGCACAAGCGGUGGAUUAUGUGGAUUAAUUCGAUGCAACGCGAAAACCUUACCUGGCCUUGACAUGUAACGAACUUUCCAGAGAUGGAUUGGUGCUCGAAAGAGAACGUUAACACAGGUGCUGCAUGGCUGUCGU
rnacentral:rRNA from 1 species